UACGGAGGGUGCAAACGUUGCGUCGGAAUUAUUGGGCGUAAAGCGCACGUAGGCGGACCAUCAAGUCGGAUGUGAAAUCCCUCGGCUUAACCGAGGACGUGCAUUCGAAACUGAUGGCCUUGAGUACGAAAGGAGGAUCGCGGAAUUCCCGGUGUAGAGGUGAAUUCGUAGAUAUCGGGAGGAACACCAGUGGCGAAGGCGGAGCGAUCUGGGCGAGUACGUGACGCUGAGGUGCGAAAGCGUGGGGAGCAACAGGAUAGAUACCCGGGUACGUCCGAGAGCAACGAUCGUCUCGCGACCCGUA
rnacentral:rRNA from 1 species